rnacentral:lncRNA from 1 species
UAUAGUAAAAUAUUUUUUUUUUGAAUACAACUGGCUGGUAUUAUUAUUGCACGGCUCAAGGCAAAAGAAACGUCUGAAAAACUACAAACAGUAACAUGAAAAGAUAGGCAACAGAAGAAAAGGAAACAGCUGUCUAAGCAGUAAUAAAUGAACUCCUAGAAACUACCAGUCUAAAAAAAACAGAAAGAAAACGUCUUGAGCCAAACCUCUUCAUCUUUAAAAUAUCAGCCAAGCCUCUCUCUAAGUUGAAAAUCGGAACCGAGUAAAGGAGAGAGCAAAAGCUUUGAACACAACGUUGGAGAUUCAUCGAACCUUCUCCAAUUUCAAAGCCACCGAGGGGAACCCUAGAGACUCUGGAACCAAGACAAUCUGUCUGCCGUUACCAUCUUCUUCACCGAUUCAGGCACACCAUUACCCUAUCCACCGCAAACCUGUCUUCUCCGGCCUUCCAAUGCAAGAGUAUGGGCUGCUCGGU